rnacentral:lncRNA from 1 species
AGGCGGCUGGUGACGAGUGGUGCGUACUGGCGGGAGAGGCGCACGGUGGCCGACGGGGAAAAGCUCGACAUCUGCUGGCGGCUGCCAUUAAUCUCACGGCAAUGUCAAUUUGUUCGUGCGAGAUUAAGGCCAGGGACACAUCUUUCCUCAUUUGGCCGAAUCAGCGCGCGGUUGCGAUGCGUCCGCAAGGGCAUGGGGUCCAAUGGUCACUGGAGAUGCUCAUGCGACGGCGAGGGCGACAUGGCGAGAGAAGGCUCAAGGAGGGUGGCGAUGCGAGGAAUUGGAUCGACAUGGUCCGACGGCAGCACACUGCUGCACAUGGCGACGGUUCGACAGGACUCAAGGAGGACUUCGACAGGAGAGACGCAUGGUGGCCGACAGGAAAAAGCUCAAGGAAUCGCUAGACCCGGGCCUGCCUUGUGGAAGGCGGUGCCAAGGUCGAGGAGGUGGUGCUGGGCAGCAUCGUGGUGGCAUGAAAAGGGAGAGGAAAUGGAAGGGAUCAACAAUAACGAGGGGAAUAAGAAGGGGCCGACUGUCGGCAUCGAGUUUCUACUCACCAGCCACCACGUACCUCUCUCGCCGACUGCCACCCUUCUCCCCAUUGGCCACCGCCCAUUGCUAUUGAGCUGCCACCAGCCGUGCACCUUGGCUGCCUGCGCCCACCAUGCGACUCUCCCGUCGGCUGCCAAUCUGGAGGCCUAG